GACGAACGCUGGCGGCGUGCUUAGCACAUGCAAGUCGAACGGAAAGGCCCUGCUUUUGUGGGGUGCUCGAGUGGCGAACGGGUGAGUAACACGUGAGUAACCUGCCCUUGACUUUGGGAUAACUUCAGGAAACUGGGGCUAAUACCGGAUAGGAGCUCCUGCUGCAUGGUGGGGGUUGGAAAGUUUCGGCGGUUGGGGAUGGACUCGCGGCUUAUCAGCUUGUUGGUGGGGUAGUGGCUUACCAAGGCUUUGACGGGUAGCCGGCCUGAGAGGGUGACCGACCACAUUGGGACUGAGAUACGGCCCAGACUCCUACGGGAGGCAGCAGUGGGGAAUAUUGCACAAUGGGCGGAAGCCUGAUGCAGCAACGCCGCGUGCGGGAUGACGGCCUUCGGGUUGUAAACCGCUUUCGCCUGUGACGAAGCGUGAGUGACGGUAAUGGGUAAAGAAGCACCGGCUAACUACGUG
rnacentral:rRNA from 1 species